CUUUAUACUGUGAAACUGCGAAUGGCUCAUUAAAUCAGUUAUAGUUUAUUUGAUGGUGUUUCUUACUCGGAUAACCGUAGGAAAACUAGAGCUAAUACGUGCGUAAAUCCCGACUUCGGAAGGGACGUAUUUAUUAGAUAAGAGGCCGACCGGGCUCGUCCCGACCUUCGGUGAAUCAUGAUAACUUCACGAAUCGCAUGGUCCUGAACCGGCGAUGUUUCAUUCAAAUUUCUGCCCUAUCAACUUUCGACGGUAGGGUAGUGGCCUACCGUGGUGGUAACGGGUGACGGAGGAUUAGGGUUCGAUUCCGGAGAGGGAGCCUGAGAAACGGCUACCACAUCCAAGGAAGGCAGCAGGCGCGCAAAUUACCCAAAUCCCAAUUCGGGGAGGUAGUGACAAGAAAUAACGAUGCUCCGGCCUCUGGUCGGGUAAUCGGAAUGAGAACAAUUUAAAUCCCUUAUCGAGGAUCAAUUGGAGGGCAAGUCUGGUGCCAGCAGCCGCGGUAAUUCCAGCUCCAAUAGCGUAUAUUUAAGUUGCUGCGGUUAAAAAGCUCGUAGUCGGAUUUCGGGUGGCGCCUACCGGUCCGCCUUUGGUGAGUACUGGUAGGUACCUCCUUUCUGCCGAGGACGGGGUUCUGGGCUUAAUUGUCUGGGCCCCGGAGUCGGCGAUGUCACUUUGAGUAAAUUAGGGUGUUCAAAGCAGGCUUAUGCUCUGUAUACACUAGCAUGGGAUGACACGAUAGGACUUCGGUUUAUCUUGUCGGUCUGUAAAUCGGAGUAAUGAUAAAGAGGGACAGUCGGGGGCAUUCGUAUUUCGUAGUCAGAGGUGAAAUUCUUGGAUUUACGGAAGACGAACUUCUGCGAAAGCAUUUGCCAAGGAUGUUUUCAUUGAUCAAGAACGAAAGUCGGGGGCUCGAAGACGAUUAGAUACCGUCGUAGUCUCGACCAUAAACGAUGCCGACUAGGGAUCGGAGGUGGUUUUUUUAUGACCUCUCCGGCACCUUACGAGAAAUCAAAGUUUCUGGGUUCCGGGGGGAGUAUGGUCGCAAGGCUGAAACUUAAAGGAAUUGCCU
rnacentral:rRNA from 1 species